rnacentral:misc_RNA from 1 species
GAUGAAGAACGUAGCGAAAUGCGAUAAGUAAUGUGAAUUGCAGAAUUCAGUGAAUCAUCGAAUCUUUGAACGCACAUUGCGCCCCCUGGUAUUCCGGGGGGCAUGCCUGUCCGAGCGUCAUUGCUGCCCUCAAGCACGGCUUGUGUGUUGGGCCUCCGUCCUCCUCCCGGGGGACGGGCCCGAAAGGCAGCGGCGGCACCGCGUCCGGUCCUCGAGCGUAUGGGGCUUCGUCACCCGCUCUUGUAGGCCCGGCCGGCGCUUGCCGACACAUCAAUCUUUUUUCCAGGUUGACCUCGGAUCAGGUAGGGAUACCCGCUGAACUUAAGCAUAUCAAUAAGCGGAGGA